CCCGCACAAGCGGUGGAGCAUGUGGUUUAAUUCGAAGCAACGCGAAGAACCUUACCCGGGCUUGAACGUGCAGUGGUACCUGCCUGAAAGGGCGUGGGACCCCUUCGGGGGAGCUGUGCGAGGUGCUGCAUGGCUGUCGUCAGCUCGUGCUGUGAGGUGUUGGGUUAAGUCCCGCAACGAGCGCAACCCUUGCUCUUAGUUGCCAGCGGGUAAUGCCGGGCACUCUAAGGGGACUGCCCUCGAUAAGAGGGAGGAAGGUGGGGACGACGUCAAGUCAGCAUGGCCCUUACGUCCGGGGCUACACACGUGCUACAAUGGCGACUACAGCGCGUCGCUAACCUGCAAAGGGGAGCUAAUCGCUAAAAAGUCGCCCCAGUUCAGAUCGGGGUCUGCAACCCGACCCCGUGAAGCCGGAAUCGCUAGUAAUCGGAGAUCAGCUACGCUCCGGUGAAUACGUUCUCGGGCCUU
rnacentral:rRNA from 1 species